CCGCAUACGUCCUACGGGAGAAAGGGGGCUUUGGCUCCCGCUAUCGGAUGAGCCUAUGCCGGAUUAGCUGGUUGGUGAGGUAAUGGCUCACCAAGGCGACGAUCCGUAGCUGGUCUGAGAGGAUGAUCAGCCACAUCGGGACUGAGACACGGCCCGAACUCCUACGGGAGGCAGCAGUGGGGAAUAUUGGACAAUGGGGGCAACCCUGAUCCAGCCAUGCCGCGUGUGUGAAGAAGGCCCUCGGGUUGUAAAGCACUUUCAGCGAGGAAGAACGCCUGGCGGUUAAUACCCGCCAGGAAAGACAUCACUCGCAGAAGAAGCACCGGCUAACUCCGUGCCAGCAGCCGCGGUAAUACGGAGGGUGCAAGCGUUAAUCGGAAUUACUGGGCGUAAAGCGCGCGUAGGUGGCUUGAUAAGCCGGUUGUGAAAGCCCCGGGCUCAACCUGGGAACGGCAUCCGGAACUGUCAGGCUAGAGUGCAGGAGAGGAAGGUAGAAUUCCCGGUGUAGCGGUGAAAUGCGUAGAGAUCGGGAGGAAUACCAGUGGCGAAGGCGGCCUUCUGGACCGACACUGACACUGAGGUGCGAAAGCGUGGGUAGCAAACAGGAUUAGAUACCCUGGUAGUCCACGCCGUAAACGAUGU
rnacentral:rRNA from 1 species